AGGGAAUCUUCCACAAUGGACGCAAGUCUGAUGGAGCAACGCCGCGUGAGUGAAGAAGGUUUUCGGACCGUAAAGCUCUGUUGUUGGUGAAGAAGGAUAGAGGUAGUAACUGGCCUUUAUUUGACGGUAAUCAACCAGAAAGUCACGGCUAACUACGUGCCAGCAGCCGCGGUAAUCGUAGGUGGCAAGCGUUGUCCGGAUUUAUUGGGCGUAAGGCGAGCGCAGGCGGAAGAAUAAGUCUGAUGUGAAAGCCCUCGGCUUAACCGAGGAAUUGCAUCGGAAACUGUUUUCUUGAGUGCAGAAGAGGAGAGUAGAACUCCAUGUGUAGCGGUGGAAUGCGUAGAUAUAUGGAAGAAUACCAGCGGCGAAGGCGGCUCUCUGGUCUGCAACUGACGCUGAGGCUCGAAAGCAUGGGUAGCGAACAGGAUUAGAUACCCUGGUAGUCCAUGCCGUAAACGAUGAGUGCUAAGUGUUGGGAGGCUUCCGCCUCUCAGUGCUGCAGCUAACGCAUUAAGCACUCCGCCUGGGGGAGUACGACCGCAAGGUUGAAAC
rnacentral:rRNA from 1 species